UCGAUGUAUAUGUUGAAAAUAGAUAAUGUCAAGCAGUAUUUUAGCUACCUCUUUUAAUACGGGUCGAUGUGAGAUAUUUUCUCCCUGGUUCUGUGUGCGGCUUCCCUUCGAAGAGGCACGGAAGCAUGUAAUUUAGUUAUAACAAAACAAUUAUGUUAUAACUUGAAAAAUUCGAUUAUCGAUAUUACGGCAAACAUUUUAGUCGCUAUCGCAUGAACUUUGUUUCUUAUAAUGAAACUAUUGUUUCGUAUACUUCAAGUUCUUGAAAAAAAUUCAAGGAGUGAAUACGAAGCUGUUCCAUAUUCCGUCCUGUGAAGGCAUCACUAUUGUUCGCGAUGAACAAGCCAGGAAGAAGAAUAAAAUUGUAGGAGCAUUACCAUCAUUGAUAUUACGUUAAUGAGGAGACUCGUAUUAUUUAUCAAACACAUAACGAUCUUUUAAUGGAUUUCUGACGAAAGAGAUUGCCGUUUGCCAAGCAUUCUUCAGACAUUAUCCGAAUCCUUAUGCGACUCACGUUUUAUCGGAGAAUAUCCUGUAUCGAAAAGUCGGCGGCACAAAUCUCUUCAGCAAAAGUACUUUUUGCAAAAGAGUUACCGCUUUGUUACCGAACCGGACUCGGAAACUAAUGAGCACGUAGUUUUUCCAACAAUCUUUCGUGUGGAUAGAUGUUGGCAGAACUAUUAGACUACGUUUCGCAUUUUCCGCAUUUCUAACGUCAGGAUCCAAAAUGGUUGACGCAGAUAUUAGGAGCCUUGCUGAUAAUAUGCACAUUUUAAAAUUUGCAAGGUAUAAGAUAUAACUUUCUUUGACCUCUUAAUCGAUCGGUGCUAUUAUCACUGCCGCAUCAUUCAUCUCAGAGCAGCAACAAAAAUACAUUUGAAGAGAGACUAUUUGUAAUAAAUUUAUGAGCGAAUUCAGGUACUAAUCCUCGUGAAAAGCAUAGUCGAUCUCAGCGCGAUAGACUAGUCUCGUUAACCGGGAACCUCGAUCAUAGAAAAU